UAAGAAAAAGUGCCCAUAGUUUAGUGACAA
rnacentral:piRNA from 1 species